rnacentral:lncRNA from 1 species
CUCGAAAUUAAUUUCAAGCCGAAUUUGAGCUGACAUAAGCUCGCUCGAGCUCGGCUCGUUUCCACCCCUAAUUUUACCACUCAAUUGACUCUGCAGGAUAUGUCUUCGGUGAGACUCAAACUUAGAACAUUGUAUUUGACAUCAUAUUAAAUUAUAUGAAAUAAUUGUUGUUCUACAUAAGCUUAAACUGUCAGAAAAUGAUAUUUCAUGUAUUUUACAUUCUAUAGUAUCGUUAAUUUGAUGAAGAGUAG